rnacentral:lncRNA from 1 species
ACAGGGAGCAAAUUCUGGGUUAAAGAGGUAUUAUUAGGGAAACUUUAGAUAUCUGAAAUUUACCUUCAUGUUCUUUCUCUUUGCCGUAUACCUCUGGCUCUUUAACACUCUUCUCGGGAAAUGGCACCAACAUCCAUCCAGGUAAAGACCAAAUGCUAUUUUAAAAAAAAAUUCCCGGGAGCGGACUCAAGAUGGCGCUGUGAGAACAACCCAGGAUUGGAGCCCGCGUUGAAUUCGCAAACGGUGAGUCAGUGCUGCAUUUCCAGACUGAUCUUUGUUGCCCACAGAACGGGGAAACUCCCAAGUAUAAAAAGACACGGGACGCCAGGCAGUAGGUCUGCCUGGCGAAGCCGGCAGCCGGGGCGGCGGCGGCCGGCCCUACCCAGCAAUCCCCACAGGGCACGCUUGUCCGGGUGCCUUGUUGAACCGGCAACCUGAGACUUGAGAGGGCUGGACUUGAGACUGAACGAGACUUGCACAGUAGCCCAGCCCAGGGGAUUGCAGGGACAGAUCGUUUGGGAUACCCAGUGGGACGAACAAAACCGCGAUUUCAAACUAUCCCGGGCAGACGGUCCGAGACGCUCUGUGGGGGAGGGGCGUCCACCACUACCGAGGCAACCCGCCCCAACUGAGAUACACGCCCACUGCUGACGCAGCCAGCCGUUGCUGAGGCAACACGCUACAACGAAGAGACUCCGCCGCAGGGCGUGGCGGAGACCACAGCAGAGCCGGCAGGAACAGCGCGAAUCACACAACAGCAGGGCGGAGCCUCGGCAGCCAAACAGUGGCUAGUCUGCCUUCGAGCUGGGCAGGACACCUGAUCGGACAUCCAAAAAUAAAGCCCAAACCCCUCAACACAGAGCAUUUGAGAAAAAAAAAAGGGUUGUUUAAUGAGCUGUGUUGCAGCAGAAUCAAACAUAGCAGCCUAACAGCCCUGAAUGAACAACAGAGUACACAGCUCAGCAAUUAAACCCCUAUAAAGUACAAACUGUCUCCUCAAGCAGCUCCCUGACCCCUCUAUAUCCAAAAGACUGUCAUUAGGCAGGCAUCAUCCUGGGACAAAGAGAGCAGAAAAAGAAACUGGUAGCAUACCUCGCUGUGCCACGGCUACUAGAGGUGCACCCCAGACAAGCAGGGUCUGGAGCGGACCUCAACAGUCGUAUAGCGAAGGGGCUAGACUGGUAGAAGGAAAACCAAGCAACAGAAAUACUUCAUCAUCAACAUUCUGGGUGUCCACUCAGAGACCCAAACGAAAAGUCAGCAACUACGCAGACGACCAGCGGACAAAUCCACAAAGAUGGGAAGAAACCAGCGCAAAAAGGAGGAAAACACCCAAAACCAGAACACAUCGCCUCCUAGAAAGGACCAAAACUCCUCACCAGCAAGGGAACAAAGCUGGACGGAGAAUGACUGUGACGAAAUGACGGAAU